AGAGAGCAGAACGAUGCCGGCUGGCAAGCAGAUGGCUGCUCCGUUUAUUGGUUUAUUCGUCGGUAACGGCAACGUGUCCCGCCCGAACUAAGUUUUCUUUGUGUUGUCUAGAAUGAAUACGACCAUGGUGAAUAUCUACUGUACCCAAUCACCUCAGGAAAGAGCAUCGUACGUGCCUUGGAUACGUGUCAAUCAUCAAGAGUCAAGAGAAUCAUUGAUAGAGAUUCAUAUUAAUGAAAGGUGAGCAAAGAGUAACAAGUAACGAGGAAUAUUACAUUAAAGAUAAUAAAAAAAUGUGUAAAUGGCAAACAAAAAGCUCAAUGGUAGAAAAUCCUUUAAGCCAAGUAAAAUGAGAACUUUGAAGAGGGUAAGAAGAGUCAAAAGUCAAGUGCCUGUUGAGUAAAAGGUCUUGUUGUCAUUUGGCAAAGAAUUUUGACACUUCAGCAUCCAUGUUAACGAGUUAACGUAGGCGUCCUAAGCCGAUUAAGAGUGGAUACACUUCUUGUACAACUUUGUUCAUGCAUUAAAAGACAAACAGAUUUAUGCUUAAUAUAACCAUCUGACAAAUACGUUAACAAGAUGAAGGUGUAUAAUUUCCCGUACGAAAAGCAAACGACAAAUUUAGGAUACCAAGAAAGUAAUGAAACAGUGAAGAUAAUUAUAUACUUUUCGAUAUGACGUAAAGAUGAGAAUUUAAGGAGUAUAACUCAAAACUAUCUGCGAUAUCAUCAAAAAUUUAUUCAAAAGAUGAUUUUCUCUGCAUAAAAAAGAGAUUUGUAUUUCAUUUACGUUGAUUACAGCAAUUAUUAAACUUCAUUUAAUACUUUUCUAUAAAAAUAAAAAGUACAUAAGUUUCAUUACACAGUAAAUAAAUUCUCCAGGAACGAAUUUAUUAAUCUGCAAUGCGUAAAAGUAAUUACUGUGAAUCAAUAUAGAAAGUUAGCUUGAACAAAUUAUAUAAAUUCCUACUGCUUCCAUUUAUUUUAA
rnacentral:lncRNA from 1 species